GACGGAGGAUGCAAGCGUUAUCCGGAAUGAUUGGGCGUAAAGCGUCCGCAGGUGGCAGUUCAAGUCUGCUGUCAAAGACCGGGGCUUAACUUCGGAAAGGCAGUGGAAACUGAACAGCUAGAGUAUGGUAGGGGCAGAGGGAAUUCCUGGUGUAGCGGUGAAAUGCGUAGACAUCAGGAAGAACAUCGGUGGCGAAGGCGCUCUGCUGGACCAUAACUGACACUCAGGGACGAAAGCUAGGGGAGCGAAUGGG
rnacentral:rRNA from 1 species